rnacentral:rRNA from 1 species
AUUGAACGCUGGCGGCAUGCUUUACACAUGCAAGUCGAACGGCAGCGCGGGCUUCGGCCUGGCGGCGAGUGGCGAACGGGCGAGUAAUGCACCGGAACGUGCCCUGCAGUGGGGGAUAGCCCGGCGAAAGCCGGAUUAAUAUCGCAUACGACCUGAGGGUGAAAGCGGGGGACCGAAAGGCCUCGCGCUUUUGGAGCGGCCGAUGUCGGAUUAGCUAGUUGGUGGGGUAAAGGCUUACCAAGGCGACGAUCCGUAGCUGGUCUGAGAGGACGACCAGCCACACUGGGACUGAGACACGGCCCAGACUCCUACGGGAGGCAGCAGUGGGGAAUUUUGGGCAAUGGGGGAAAGCCUGAUCCAGCCAUGCCGCGUGCGGGAAGAAGGCCUUCGGGUUGUAAACCGCUUUUGUUCGGGAAGAAAUCCUGUGGGCUAAUACCCCGGGGGGAUGACGGUACCGGAAGAAUAAGCACCGGCUAACUACGUG